rnacentral:piRNA from 1 species
UCACUAUUUAAUUUGAGCUAC